rnacentral:ncRNA from 1 species
UAACCGGUGUGAGUCCGGUCGAGGUAAGAGCCAAGUCGCCUCGCAGCUGACAGGCAAUUGGUGGAGAGACCCUAAGGUUGAAGCCCUGUGACAAAGUAACUCUCAAGAGAGUGCGAGCAAAUCAGCAGGCCGUAACAUCA